rnacentral:tRNA from 1 species
GGAAGCGUAGCUCAGUUUGGUAGAGCAGCUGACUCUUAAUCAGCGGGUCGCGGGUUCGAGUCCCGCCGCUUCUACCA